rnacentral:lncRNA from 1 species
AACCUUUUCUAAUAACAAAACACCAAUGACUUUCUGAUGAAUUUUAUUUAUUUAUUUAUUUAUUUUUGUGAAAAAUGACUUCCAUCGUACCAAAUACAUCGAAAAUUAUUCGAAAGCUUUCUUGAAUACCAUGUAUAUCAGCAACAGCCUCCAUAGCUUUCUGCUUAGUUUUUUCGUCGCUCAUUGUCAUAAUCUUUACCACCAACUUUUGCUAUAUAAGAUUUCCAAUAUUUACAUUAAAAAAAAAAUUAAGCAAUAGAAUUUGUAAACUAAGAAAAAAAGGAAACAAACAACAAAUAGAGUAAUAACUUAUAAUAAGAAUGCUUUAUAUAAAACCUGUCCCAUUUGAAGUAUCUUUGAUUGAUAGCGUGUUGGAAUUAAUAGGAACAAGUUGUGUGCGAGCCUUGAAAAUGAAAAAACUCUUGAUGUGGAGCGUUUUCUCCUUUAAUAGUUCUACACGAUAGGAAUUCAGAUUAGUCAGGAUGAUAGGAUUCGUAUAGAACGUAGGGAGGAACAAGAAAGCGUCGAUUUAGCAAGUCGCCUAGUUUAUUAAGAAAGAUUUUCUAUUCUAUAUGGUGCAAUUCUCCUAUAACUUGACCAUAUAACUCAAGUUUUGGAAGAAAUGUUAAGUAGAGGGGUUGAUUUGGGGAAGAAGCAGAUGGAUUAAGGCUUUUAUAAAGUGUAAAAAUUGAUAAUUAUUAUGCAUGGCUUGAUUAACUAAAAAAUAAGUAUGGCAUUUUCCCUGACUUAAUAUUAAU